rnacentral:rRNA from 1 species
AGAUUGAACGCUGGCGGCAUGCCUUACACAUGCAAGUCGAACGGUAGAGUAGCAAUACUUGAGAGUGGCGAACGGGUGAGUAAUAUAUCGGAACGUGCCCAGUCGUGGGGGAUAACGUAGAGAAAUUUACGCUAAUACCGCAUACGAUCUAAGGAUGAAAGCGGGGGACCUAAGGCCUCGCGCGAUUGGAGCGGCUGAUAUCAGUAUUUAGGUUGUUGGUGAAGGUAAAACGC